CACCGCCCGUCACACCACGGAAGCCAGCUGUACCGGAAGUCGGUGCCUCAACCCGCAAGGGAGAGAGCCGCCUAUGGUAUGACUGGUGACUGGGGUG
rnacentral:rRNA from 1 species